rnacentral:rRNA from 1 species
UACGAGGGGUGCAAACGUUGCUCGGAAUCAUUGGGCGUAAAGCGCACGUAGGCGGCUUGCCAAGUCGGACGUGAAAUCCCUCAGCUCAACUGAGGACGUGCAUCCGAAACUGGCGAGCUUGAGUGCUGAAGAGGAUCGCGGAAUUCCCGGUGUAGAGGUGAAAUUCGUAGAUAUCGGGAGGAACACCGGUGGCGAAGGCGGCGAUCUGGGUCGAUACUGACGCUGAGGUGCGAAAGCGUGGGGAGCAAACAGG